rnacentral:rRNA from 1 species
GACGAACGCUGGCGGCGUGCUUAACACAUGCAAGUCGAACGGAAAGGCCUCUUUCGGGGGGUACUCGAGUGGCGAACGGGUGAGUAACACGUGAGUAACCUGCCCUUGACUUUGGGAUAACUUCAGGAAACUGGGGCUAAUACCGGAUAGGAGCUCCUGCUGCACGGGGGGGGUGGGGAAGUUUCGGCGGGUGGGGAGGGACUCGCGGCGUAUCAGCUUGUUGGUGGGGGAGUGGCUUACCAAGGCUUUGACGGGUAGCCGGCCUGGGAGGGUGACCGGCCACAUUGGGACUGGGAUACGGCCCAGACCCCUACGGGGGGCAGCAGUGGGGAAUAUUGCACAAUGGGUGGGAGCCUGAUGCAGCAACGCCGGGGGCGGGAUGACGGCCUUCGGGUUGUAAACCGCUUUCGCUCAUGACGAAGCUUUGUGUGACGGUAGUGGGUAAAGAAGCACCGGCUAACUACGUG